GACCGCCAGUGAAAAUCGAUUUUCACUGGCGGUUUUAUUACGCCGACCGCCAGUGAAAAUCGAUUUCCACUGGCGGUU
rnacentral:pre_miRNA from 7 species